CCUACAGCGUUGUGCCAGGCACUGCCGAGGAUCCUUCUGUUUGCAGGCAGCCCAGAUUUGGCUGCAGCAGAAACAAGACGAGUGAUUCAGAGACCCGUCUCUGCGAGGACCUCGUGUUCCCACGUCUGCCCACGCUCUGCUAGGCUGUGCAAGGAGCCCGCUUUAUUUAAGGUUUCCUGACUGCGUUUUCCUGCUGAGGAGCCACAGAACAAACACGCCUUGUUAGGCUUCAUUUAAUGCAGCAAGAAUAAACCAGAAAUCCACUGGGCUUGUGCAAGAAUUACAGCCAGGGAAAAAAGGAUCAGAGAGCAGCAGCCACUCAAACCGAGGGGCUGCAGCUCUCACCCUCAGCCCUGAGCCCAUGGUGCCCCUUCAAGGGCACAGCCUGCCCCCAGCAGCGUGCAGAUAAAGCACCGUAUGAGAAAUGCCCCAUAGGGAAGCACUGUAAUAUGCAGAGAAGACAGACCGUUAGGCAUGGGUUUAAAAUCAGCGUUGAAACAAAACUCUGAAAUUAAA